UACGGGGGGAGCAAGCGUUGUUCGGAUUUACUGGGCGUAAAGGGCGCGUAGGCGGUCAGCACAAGUCAGUUGUGAAAUCUCCGGGCUUAACUCGGAAAGGUCAACUGAUACUGUGCGACUAGAGUGCAGAAGGGGCAACUGGAAUUCUCGGUGUAGCGGUGAAAUGCGUAGAUAUCGAGAGGAACACCUGCGGCGAAGGCGGUUUCCUGGCCGAGUACUGACGCUGAGGCACGAAAGCGUGGGGAGCGAACGGG
rnacentral:rRNA from 1 species